rnacentral:rRNA from 1 species
CCAGCGGCGUGCUUACCAUGCAAGUCGAGCGGUAAGGCGUCCUUCAGGAGUACACUAGCGGCGAACGGGUGAGUAACACGUGAGCGAUCUGCCCUUCACUUCGAGAUAACUCCUGGAAACCGGUGCUAAUACCGAAUACAACCACUUCAAGCAUCUGAUGGUGGUGGAAACUUCCUGCGGUGAAGGAUGACCUCGCGGCCUAUCAGCUUGUUGGUGAGGUAACGGCCCACCAAAGCCACGACGGGUAGCCGGCCUGGGAGGGUGACCUGCCACACUGGGACUGAAACGCCGCCCAUACUCCUACGGGAGGCAGCAGUGCGGGAAUAUUGGACAAUGGGCGAAAGCCUGAUCCAACAACCCCUCUUGAUGGAUGACGGCCUUCCGGUUGUAAACCUCUUUCAUCGGGGACCAAGCUUUGUCUUUUUGGGCAAACUGACUGUACCCGCACAAGAGGCACCGGCCAGCUACGUGCCAACAGCCGCGGUAAU